AUGGGAUGACCAGCUACAGAGAGGAGCAACCCACUCUAGGGCCUCCUCUCUGCUGAGACUUGCAGAGAUGAUGGAAAGAUGUCAGGGAGAUGAUGGAGAGAUGGUGGCUAGAUGAUAGGACAACCUGCCUGCAGAGAGAAGCCACCUACUCUAGGGCCUCCUCUCUGCUGAGAGCUGCGCAGAUGUUAGGAUGACCAACUGCAGGGAGGAGUUACCCUCUCUGCUGAUAGCUGAACACUUGUCAGGAUGACUUGCCUAGAAGAAAGGAGCUACCCUCUCUGCUAGGAGCUGAAAACUCAUCAGGACACCCUGGCUACGGAAAGGGCUUCCCCCUGCAGGCUUCCUCUAAGCUGUUCUAUCACUGAGUGAAGAGAAGGAAAGAAGAGAUGUGGCCCUUUGGAGAGCUCAGACCUGGGAGUUCCCUGAGCUAGUUCUGUUACUCUCUCUUUGGGGUCCUGUGGUUUCCGGCAUCUCCAAAAUUCUGAGCACGACUGUGUUCUCCGGUGCCAGCUUUGGAAGCUGUUUGCAGUGCACCUUUUCUGGCUGCAGCCUCACAGAGAGCUGGUGCCCAUGCUGGCACCUGGAGCUGCCCACCCUGCUGCAGUAGCCAGCAUGUCUGACCGUGCACAGAGGCUGGACCCCACACUUGCUCACACACCUCUCACCAUACAUGCCUGACUUGCCCUUGGCAGGCGUGGGACCCAGGGGGGUGGCAUGAGCCAAGUGCAGCCUGCCAGGCCAAGUGGGUGAAAUGAGCCUAGCAGGCCUGAGCAAAACUCAGGCAAAAGCACCACAAGCCACAGAGGUUCUGGCCAGAAAAAAAUCCCAUAACAUUUUGGGGCUUCUGUGUAGCUGUGGCAGCUGAUACCCCAGGACCCACUCAGCACUCAUGCAUAUACAACCCGGAAAUGCAGAAGACCUAACACCUGUGGAGCCACCUUUGACUGAUGAGGGAGGAAACCUAUGUACAAAUUUUUUUUCCCUUUUGUUCCAUAGGCAGAUAAUUGUAAAAUAUAUUUUCCAAGGCUCCCCAAAGGUAUGCUGAAAUAAAGUACUAGUCAACAGUAGCAGUAGCCAGCUCAGUAGUGCAUUCUUA
rnacentral:lncRNA from 10 species